GAUGAACGCUGGCGGCGUGCCUAACACAUGCAAGUCGAACGGAGUUACUUUGGUGAAGUUUUCGGACGGAUCUGAUUUAACUUAGUGGCGGACGGGUGAGUAAUGCGUGAGCAACCUGCCCUUCAGAGGGGGACAACAGUUGGAAACGACUGCUAAUACCGCAUACGAUUCAACUUCGGCAUCGAGGAUGAAUGAAAGGUGGCCUCUAUUUAUAAGCUAUCGCUGAAGGAGGGGAUUGCGUCUGAUUAGCUAGUUGGAGGGGUAACGGCCCACCAAGGCGAUGAUCAGUAGCCGGUCUGAGAGGAUGAACGGGCCACAUUGGGACUGAGACACGGGCCCAGACUCCUACGGGAGGCGGCAGUGGGGAAUCUUCCGCAAUGGGACGAAAGUCUGACGGAGCAACGCCGCGUGAGUGAUGACGGGCCUUCGGGUUGUAAAGCUCUGUUAAUCGGGACGAAAAGGGUCCUCUUGUGAAUAAUUAGAGGAAUUGACGGUACCGGAAAUAGAAAAGCC
rnacentral:rRNA from 1 species